GGCCAAGGCCUGGGCGUACUGAGGGGGUGGGGCUGAGUUUGAUCACCCCCCACCCGCUGACGUUUGGGGGCGGGGCUUGUCUUUAGCCCCGCCUGUUGCUGUAUGCAAAUAGCUCUGAUGGUUAAUGAGGGUGUGGUCUUACCCUGACCCACUCACCUAACUGGGUGUGUCGUGGGGGGUGUGGUUUAUUUCAUUAGCCCUGCCCCUUCUACAUCUACAAAUGGAGUGGCUUUGGGGGGGUGUGGCCUCUAUUAGCCCGACCCCCUUUUCCUCAACCAAUUAGAUUGGUUUGUGGGGGCAUGGCUUCUUUCAUCCCUGCCCCCUUUUCCAAUAAACUAUGGGCUGGGUGCGCCCUUUUCUCAAUGACCAAUUAGAUUGGCUCAUGGGGGCGUGAUUUAUUUUGGCCCCGCCCCCUUUUCCAACACUUUCACCACAUGGGGGUGUGGCUUCUGUUAGCCCCGCCCCUUUCUCAAUAAGCAGUUGGAUUGGCUCUUGGUGGCGUGGCUUUGAUAAAAGCCCCACCCCCUUCUCAAUAAACACUGGAGUGGCUACUGGGGGCGUGGCCUCUGAUAGCCCCGCCCCUCUCCUUGUACAGAAUAGGAAUUGUCCCUGGGGGCGUGGCCUCUUAUAGCCCCGCCUUCUCUAUAUACACUUGGGGUGGCUCCCGGGGGCGUGGCCUAUGUUAGCCCCCCCCUUAUUGUACAGUAGUGCUCCCUGGGGGCGUGGUCUCUGAUAGCCCCACCCCUUCAUUUCCAUAUGAGGUGCACCCUCUGUUAGCCACGCCCUCAAUCCCCCCCUCCCCCCAUUGCAAUCCCUGCAGUCCCACCCCAACCCAAACCACCCCAUUGUGUGCAUCCCCCCCAUAUAUCACCCCACGGUCUCCGUGACCCCGCCCCACCUGGCGCCCACGGGGGGACAGCCCGGCGUCCCCCCCGAUGCGUCCCCACAGGUUGAGCUGGCUCUCCCCGUGGCGGCUCAGGUAGAUGGUGCGCGGCGUGACGUGCGUGUUCAUCAGGUAGUACACCGUCCGGCUCUGCACGUGGCCCUGCACCCGGUUCGCCAGGUACCGCACCCCCACGUCGAAGAUCUUGAUGGUCGUCACAGAUGGACUCGACGAACAGGACCUGGAGGGGAAGCAGGGUGUGUGCCCCCCCCACAUCAAAAUGCAAGAAGUUCCCUCCUCAAUCCCCAUGCCUUGACUUCCCCCCCCCCAAAAAAAAAA